rnacentral:rRNA from 1 species
UACGGAAGGCAGCAGUGGGGAAUAUUGCACAAUGGGCGAAAGCCUGAUGCAGCUAUGCCGCGUGUAUGAAGAAGGCCUUAGGGUUGUAAAGUACUUUCAUCGGGGAGGAAAAAACAAAACUAAUAAUUUUAUUUCUUGACGUUACCCGAAAAAGAAGCACCGGCUAACUCCGUGCCAGCAGCCGCGGUAAUACGGAGGGUGCUAGCGUUAAUCAGAAUUACUGGGCGUAAAGAGCACGUAGGUGGUUUUUUUAAGUCAGAUGUGAAAUCCCCUGGGCUUAACCUAGGAACUGCAUUUUGAAACUGAAAUACUAGAGUAUCGUAGAGGGAGGUAGAAUUCUAGGUGUAGCGGUGAAAUGCGUAGAUAUCUGGAGGAUACCUGUGGCGAAAGCGGCCUCCUAAACGAAUACUGACACUGAGGGUGCGAAAGCGUGGGGAGCAAACAGGGAUUAGAUACC